CUACACUGCAGCCAGCUGAAGCCAUUGUACUCCCCUGAAACGGAGAUCCUUUGCAGCUGUGCGGAUAGGCAGCCCUUGAUUCAAGUUUGGUAUUUGCCCCAGACUGUAGGGGUCAGCUUAACAGUAACCAUAGACACAAAGAAAGAGAGAACAGCGCACACAGAAAAUGGCACUCCAAGUGUGUCCGAGUUUGUGGCAACGGAACAUUGUCAAGUACAGCUACCAUUCACAAUCACCUUAGACGACGUUGAUGCAGAAAGGCUUCUCACACUGGAACGCAGAUGAAUCCUCUUCAUUAGCAGAGGAACCUGACACACAAGACAGCUUGCUUCCCUGUCCACCGCCCACAGCUCAGGAGAGGACAGACUAUCUGAGCUUGAAGACUACAAACCCAGAGGAACAGGAACCAUCAAAGAGACAAAAGAUAAAAUAAUAGUUAGGUCGCCAGUGGGAAUUUCAAGAUCUACUCAAUAGUCUGAAAACUAUCGAUGAGCAAUAGGAGGAGAAGAUCUUUCUAAAAGCAGAGAAGACAUCUAAAAUAGAACCACGACAGGAAAAUUCCUAGAGUUAGAAAAGGAGAUGCCAAAAUCAGAUACAGGAAGUGCUUCGGACACCAAAAAGUCAAAACCCCAAAAGAAAACUUCCCCUUACCAUACUACAAUUAGAGCUUUGCAUACAGAGAACAAAGGAAGAAUGUUGCCAGCAGAAAGAGAAAUCCAAGUCACGCACAUAGCAGAACUGUCAGAGUGGCGGCAGAAGAUUAACAGAAUCUUUAAAUGCCAGAAGAACUUGGAAUGAUGGAGCCCAAACUCUGAGAGCCAGCUGCCAGCCCAAACUACUAUACUCAGCUAAGCUGUUAGAAUUGAACGAUAAUUGAAAACUUUUCAUUAAAAAGGAGUCUGCGAACUUUAAACCAGCUCCGCAGAAGACACUUGAAGGAAGUCUUUGGACUAAAAAGAAAAACAAGGCUACCUAGGAGACUACAGGGAAGAAAAACCAUGCUACAAAGAAGAGUUGGGCAAAAGAGCCAAGCAAACCAGCAGAACAACGGGAUUCAAACACAACUUCCUUUUAAAACAUUUAUUGUGGGGGCUGGAGAGAUGGCUCAGUGGUUAAGAGCACCCAACUGCUCUUCCAGAGGUCCUGAGUUCAAUUCCCAGCAACCACAUGGUGGCUCACAACCAUCUGUAAUGAGAUCUGAUGCCCUCUUCUUCUGGUGUGUCUGAGGACAGCUACAGUGUACUUAUAUAUAAUAAAUGAAUAAAUCUUUAAAAAAAAAACAUUUAUUGUGGAGCCAGAGAGAUGGCAUGGCAGUUAAGUGAACAGGCUGCUCUUCCGGAGACCCUGGGCUCAGUUUCUAGCAUGCACAUGGUCGUUCACAACCAUUUGCCAUCUCCAGUUCUAGGGGACCCAGCACAUUUUUCAGGUCCCCAAGGCAGUUACCAGACGCACGUACGGCAUACAGACAUACAUGCAGGCAAAACACCUACAUAAAAUAAAAAAUUUUACUGUUUUGCAUGUGUGUGUCUAUAUACCACAAGCAUGCCUGGUGACCCAGGAAGCCAGAGAGGGCAUCGGAUCCCUGGAACUGAAGUUAUAGAUGGUUUCGAGCCGCCAUGUGGUUGUGAGGAAUCAAACCCAGGUCCUCUAGAAGAGCAGCCAGUGCUCUUAAUCACGGAGCCAUCUCUCCAGCCUUCUACACCCAUAUUUCAAUCUCGACCAUGAAUAUUGUUGGUCUAAAUUCCCCAAUCAAGACUCUAGAUUAGAUUAAAAAGCAGAAAGCAUAUAUUUGCUGACUCUACAAAAUGCACCUCACUGCAAAAGCUAGACACGCCCUUCUGGUGAGAGGAUCGGGGGACAUCCCAAGCAAAUGGACCCAGUAAAAAGCAGAUGUCACAGUUCUCGGACCUGACAAAACAGAAUUUAAACCAGAAUGGGCAAGAAGAGGUAUAGACGGUCACUUCCUAUUGGAUCAGGGAACAAUCAAAGGAUAGACUAUCACUCGCUAUUGGUUCAAGGAACAACCAAUCAGAGGACACUACAAUUCUUAACGCAUAUACCCUAAAAGGAGAUGAAAACAAUUUUUGAAAACAAAUACUAUUAUAUGUAAAGCCAUAGAUUAACCCUAGCACAGGAGUAAUGUGUGACUUCAAUAUCCUACUCUUACAAGUUGACAGGUAUUUCUGACAAAACGCAGAGAACUAUGUGAAUUAAAUGAAAUGCUAGAUCAAGCAGACUUAACAGAAAUCUACAGAACAUUCUAUCUAAACACUUCAGAAUACACAUUUUUUUUUUCUCUCAGCGUCCUUUGGAAGUUUCUUUCAAUUAGAUUGUACAUUAAGACACAAAGCAAUUUUGGAAAUCGGAUGAAAUUCAUUAUAUUCUAUUUGAUCACAAUGGAAUGAGACUACAAAUCAGUGGUGAGAGGAACCCUAGAAUGCACACAAAACUCCUGGGGUUCAUACAGCACACUGUCGAAUGGUAAAGGGAUACUUGAAAAAUCUAAUAAGUACACGCUAAAUUUCCCAGAAUCAAAUGAAAAUAAAAACACACUAUAACAAAACCUAUGGGAUAAAAAAACAAACAAACAAACAAAAAAACAAAACAAAACAAAAAUGACCCAAACAAAACAAAACAAAAAUGACCCAAAGAAGGGAGUUUAUAGUUCUAAAUGGCUACGUUGAGAAAUUGCAGAUAGACAGCCUAGUAAUCCAUCGUAAUAGAUUGUAAUGAUUGUAGACUGGAAAACGAAAUAAACCAAAUCUCAAACAGUAGAUGGAAAGAAAUCAUUAGCUCAGGGCCGAAGCUAAAGAAACGGAAACAAUGAUGACAUCAUAGUGCGGGAAGGUGCCAUGCCUACUACUGGAGGAGAGAAGUUAUCACCAGUCUUACCUAGCUGUGAAGACUAACCUACAAUGGGAACCAGCCAACCAUGAUGUACCCACUGGUGCAAUAGUAGCCAAACAUCAUGGGCAUAACCAACCACGUUCUGAUUGGCUUUAAGGCCCAUUCCACAAGCUAAAACCCAUACCUGGCACUACUACUGAGCUAAGAAUCUAUUGCUAGAAUACUCAUAGGUCCUAGUGGGCAACACAUUAUUAUUCUGAUAAAUGGGCACGGUAUUAAUCUUGCAACGACCUGUCAUUAUGUGAUAGAUUAGUGCAACUCUCAACCCUCAUCAGAGUAACUUCUCUUCUCAGAUGGUGAUUAACAAGAAGGCCACAACUGAUCAAGGUGCAGAGGCUGGGGGAACAUGGGAUGCUCAGCCCCGAAUGGAACAUCUACCUCACGCCUUCUCUUCCCAAGGCUGAGGAGAGGGGUCAGAAAAAUUACAAGAGCCAGAGGUCCUGGAAGACUAAAAGGUAGUAGUGUUUUCCAGACAGGAAAACAGGGCAGUUGUACAUAUGAACAUGACAGCGCACACACAAGACCUGCACGGGCUCAAGACAGACACAAUCCCAGCACGGAGAGGGAGGUGGGUACGAAGUCCCACCGUAGCUUAGGAGCUAUUCGCAAUCAAUAACUGCUGGGUGAAGAAUCAGUUCCCUUUAAGGGUGUGGCACCUGGUAGGCUGCCCAAGCUCGUGUGGGAAAACACACAUCUACAAGCAACACAAAUGCCACUCAAAGGAAGGGAGCACAGAUUCAACCAGGUGGGGAGGUGGGGUGGGUCUGGGAGGGAUCAGGGUAGGAGAGUGAAUAUGAUCAAACUGCACUGUAUGAAGUUCUUUUUUGUUUUGUUUUGUUUUGUUUUUCAAGACCGGGUGUGAUGGUUGGUAUGUGCUCAGCCCAGGGAAUGGCACUAUUAGAAGGCGUGGCCCUAUUGGAGUAGGUGUGUCCUUGUUGGAGUAAGUGUGUCACUGUGGGCGUGGGCUUUAAGACCCUCAUCCUAUAUGCCUAGAAGCCAGUAUUCUGCAGGCAACCUUCAGAUGAAGACAUAGAACUCUUAGCUCCUCCUGCACCAGGCCUGCUUGGAUGCUGCCAUGUUCCUGCCUUGAUGAUAAUGGACUGAACCUCUGAACCUGUAAGCCAG